ACUAGAACAAUAGAGUAGAGGUCAUGUGUUUGACCCGCAGCUCCAGCUUCCUUUUUCUUUUCUUGUCAUUCUUCAUCAUUAAGCCAAAUGACCUCGUUUUAGUGAGUUCACUGAAAGUGUAAAGAUGAUGACAUAGCCGACAUGCAAGCAGGCUUCACCAAUCAUUCAUUGACACAUCGUCUUGAACGAUGACGUUGUCGCUGACGUGGGCACUUCGUUCCUCAAAUCUCUAGUCCAGCUCAACAGCGAGCUCCAAAUUCUCCGUUGAAAAUCUCCACCCUCCAUUCAAGUGAUCUACCUCUAUUUAAUCCUCAAUUUCCUAAUCGACUCACUAAUACCUCCCUGCAUCCAAAGAUCGAGUUUCGAUCUUCAAAAGAGAAAAGACAUCCAUCUCCCCGACUCUGUUUUUGAUGAACCACGACGGCAAGUCAUCUCUCGGUUAGAUUGAUUUUGAGGUAAGGGAUCGAUUAGUAGGGUAAGAAACUAUUUUCCUUCCUAAGAAACAUAUUAAAGCUUCAAUCGUUUCGAUCUAGGUUUCAUGUUCAUCUUCUCUGUCAAGCUGUGAUUUUGGAGACUGCAGACCAGAAGAUACCAGACCAUCCUUAGCAUCAAACGAAGGUUAGGAAGUGUUUCAAUUAAUUAGUUUCAAUUUCGGUAGAGUUUCCUUGUGUAUUAAGCCUUCACUAGAGCUGGGUUCACCCUUGCCAGAUUCUGGGUUCAUCUCUAGAAUUUGUGGGAGAAGAUAAUUGGAUAAUGUCUGUGACGACACUUAGAUUUGUCAUUAUUUGCGUUUCAGCCAUUGAACUUUCAGAAAUUAGAAUCAGUACCUCAUCUCUUAGCAAAUUGCCUGACGUAAAAAACUAUUAAUAUCUGCCAGUUUAGUAAUCAACUUUUUCCUUGUAGUUUCCGCAACUUGGAACUUUCUGGUAAUGACAGUUUGCACCCAAAAUGGUUGUAGAAGUUCUUUAAGUCCUAAAAUUAGCCCUAAUCGGUCCUAAGAUGCUAGUAAAUUAAUCCGAAGAUAGUAACAUGACCCCUAUAUCCAUAAAUUGUUAAGUAACAGUAAUUCCUUAAGAUUAGUAAUUAUAAAUAGGAUGUACUUAAGAUUAUAACCCUUAAUCCUAAUAAGUAAUUAAAAUAGAUAUUCUUCUUCAAUCUUUCUUCCUAUCUCGAAAAUUAGCACUAAUAGAACUCUUCAUGUACUUAGUUAAUCUCUUUAACUCAAAUCUUUUUAAUUCAUCCCUUCCGUCAAAUCACAUUAAUUGUGAAGAUAAUCCUUCGAUUUUCGUCGAGCCGUCCCCAUAAUAUUUCAACACGUGUUGGAGUUUAGUCUAAUGUCUAAAUCCUCGUCUUCGGGUCAUCAAAGACAAACCGAAUUUUCAGCUUAGAUUGCAAUCCCUUGUGUUGGAACCUCUCUGCCUCUUUAUAAGGUGAGUUCCUUUAAGGGGGUAAAUUUUUUUCCUUGCUAUAGUGAGGGUAUGCAUGUUUCAUGUUAUGUUUAAUUAUGCAAUUUAAUUCAUUUAUGUUCAUGUCAUUUACUUUAUUCUUAUGAUGCUCAUAUGUGCCUUAUGUUAAACUAGCUAGAAGAUGAUAUGAUUAGCUAGUUGGAAAACAAGAAAUAACUAUCCCAAGCCUAGACCAUUAGUAGACAAUCUAGUAGUGAAAUGAUAUAGUAGUACGUAACUCUCAAGCUAGACUCCCGAUCCAGAUAGUUGGCCUAUGACCUUGGGCCACUAGAGAUCCAAGACUUAGUUACUCGGACCACUAGAGUCCCGUUAUUAGUUAUUGGGCCACUAGAGUCCCAUUAUUAGCUAUUGGGCCACUAGAGUGCCGUUUUUAGCCAUUGGGCCAAUAGAGGCCUCUAUGAUAGUACUGGCCAUUAGAGACCCAUAAUGUUAUCUUAAGUCCGAAAAAAUGUGCGGUAAGGCUAGUUAGUGAAAAGAGGGGAUGUCAUACAAGAAUUAAGAACCCUUGAAUAAAAGUCAAGGCUAGUACAAGAAUAUAAGGUGCAUAGUUUGACAUUCCCGAUGAUACUAUUUUUUACAUGAUUAACAUGAUACAUUACUUCAUAAUGUACUAAACUAGCAAGAUGAUGAUUUGACCAUGAGAGACUAACCCCGAGCCAUCCACAAGUCAUAUUAGAGAUACCAGAACGGAGACGACUUGCAAGAGCUGCAGCUGCUGCCAAUAUCUUUGGAGUUUAGACUUGUGACUUUGUUAAUGAUUUUAUGUCGGACUUGAUUUCAUGAUUUGGUUUGCCCACAUGUUUAGGGCUAUUUAUUUUGAAAUAAUGUUUGAACAAUUUAUUUAUGUUGACUUUGACUUUUAUCCUUUUUAUCGAGUCCUUGUCCGCCUCGAUGCAAUUUGGUCAUUUAAUAAAUGUUAGAAGUUUAGAGUGUUUCAUGAAACACCGGUGCUUGACGUCAACAAGAUGCCGAUUGAAUUACCAAGGGUAGAUACCCUCGUAAAUGUAUGAGUGGUCCAGGCGAAUAGUCCCGUAAAGGGGGUUGUGGAGAUCCAUCGCCUCUGACGAUACGAACCCCUAUCUACCGUUCCGGUGUUAGCUCGUUGCCUUUGAUUUCUUUCUUUCCUUCGGGUGUGUCGUACUUGUCAAGUGUUUUGUUUAUUUCUUGAAUGUUGUCAUUUGGCAAUAGAGUUAGGUAUUUUCUUUACAAAUUAGUUAUUUUCUUUACAAGUGAGGUACGAUCAAAUUAUCUGAGUCCAUGAAAUCACUCAUCAAAUCCCCUACUAAAUCACCUAGUAUGUCAUACGGACUAUGUUAGAUUAGAGGGAAACCUUGACAACG
rnacentral:lncRNA from 1 species